CAGAGCUCAGUGUUGGGGUCUCACAGCUCAGGGAGGAAUGUGCCAAAAAUCCCCCUGCAGCUCCUUCCAGUCCUUAACCAGGCUCGGUCAGCUCUGCACAGCUCUGCAUGGCAUAGCACGGCACAGUGUAACACGGCGUGGCAUGGCUCCAUGUGGCUCAGCACAGCAAGGCAUGGCACAGCACAGCGUGGUGUGGCUUGGCUCGAUACAGCACGGCUUGGCACAGCAAGGUCACUCCCUGGGAUGCCCUUGGUCCAUUGGGGCACACAUCAUAUCAGGGCCAUUUCGACAGCAACACACAUUGCCUCCACAGGUUCAGACUAUAGGAAUGAGCUCACAGAGCAAAACCAGGCAGCUGGAGUCAGCUACUCCCUAGAAUCAUCCAUUACCCCAUGACAGGAGGGGAAGUCGGGGACACGCUGCUCAGGGGAGGAUGAGGCCAGAACCAGAGGGCGGUGCUGAAGAACCGAAGGGAACGCGGUGACAUCUGGACAAGCCAUCAGCGGUAUCAGCCCACACGUCACAGCCGAGGUCAGCACAGCCAUCAGAGCCACAGCCAGCACUGCACUGGGCUGGGGGUUGCAUUUCCCAGCACCGGGCCCCGACCUGCACAGGAGGAACAGCUGCUUUUGGCCCAAUGUGCUGCAAAGGGAGAGGAGGAGGAGCGGGCCACCAAGCUGGAAAUAAUCCCUAACUAGUUCCUUCUCCUCGAAAAGAGAGUUACCUCAACCUUCUAUGGCAGCUGGCUUUUAGAGUGUGUGGGACCUCCUCCUGUCCAGCUCUUCACAGUGACAGCGUUCUGGCGUCAUUUCUUGCCACAAAGCCCCAUCCCUUCUCUUCUGAGACCUGCAUGCAGUUCACACCUAACAAGACAUCCUUUCCCUGGGACUAAAUCUCUUGAAAUCUGAUCCACGAACACAUCUAAACAGUCGCGCUAACAGGUAACUCAGAGAUAUGGAAAUGUAAAUGAUUCUCCAAUCAAUAAAGAUAAUUACGGUGAGAGAUAGACUGACAUGCAGUAUCUCGAGGCUUUUCGCCUUGUCUCCCGAGCUCCCCAGCGGCACCACACACACUGGUGAAUGUAUUUCCAAGGCUGUGACUGUGGCUGGGGAGAAUUGUUUCCUGCAAGAGGAGCACGAGUGACACUGCCCCGCUAACGAUGCGCGCUGCAGCUGGAGCCAAACUUCCCCAGCAUGACUCUGCUCUCUUCCUCCCUUUUAAAAGGCGACGUUAAUGUUGUCCUAUUAGCCUUGGGUUUCAGCAGACUGAACACGAACUGCUGUCAACUUCUGCACAAGUUGGAAGGAGAGAGGUUCAUCUCAUUUUUCCCCUCGGGUUGUUAGCUGUCAACAAACACCUUGUCUGCACACCUCUGGAAGGGCUGAUGGGGCAGAUCCCCACCAUUGAGUACUGAAGAUUUCCCAAGGAUUUGUGUACUUCCCAAUGUGGCCAGCUGCUAGGAUGUGUGUACAACCGUGCAGAAAAGCCUCUGAUGGGAACAGUGGAGAGUUACCAAACCCCAACACCUUUGAAUCCUGAGUGUCUUGAGCUGCACAGCCCCUCCUGCCCCUUCUGCCUGCACCCCCAUCUCCCCACGAGCUCAGCAGCCUUCCAGCUCAACCUGUGCUUGUGGCUCCUGGCAUCCUUUGUGAAGAAAACCUCAUCUCCUGUCCAGCAUUUGGCUGGAUGGUCUUCACGGGUUAGAGGAACUUUUAAACAUUCUCAACAAAGUUCAUGUUGAUUGAACUGGUGAAAUAAUUCCUGGUGCAAGCUCUAAGAAGGACCUUUUAAACUUCCGUGCUUGAAGCUCUGUCCAUCGCACGAGGCACGACAGACACUUGCAAGGUCAUCUCCCUGUCUGCAUUCAGCUCCUUUAACAGACACGUCUGACAGCUUUGAUGCAACCCAAAACCCAGCGCCUAUCUUCCUCUAUGGCAUUAGUUUAAAUAUAUGUAUGUAUCUAUAGAUAUACUUGGAGAGGAAUGAAGCUGUGACUAUGGUGGCUAAGGUCAUGCCGUUCAGGGUGGCUGAGGUCACACCAUCUGACACAUGUCAGAUGAAAGCUCAGGCAAGAAUAUUCAGUGACCGCUCCGUGCAGUUUUUCAUCCAUGUGCAGAGGGAAUAGCCACUCUCAGCAGCACCGGUCCAGGCCUCCCUGCCGGCGGGUCAGGGCAACGUGUGUUUCAAGUCAUACAUGGAAUAUCUAUUCACCUUUAACAAAUGCAGCGCGCAUGAAAGUGCCCGACUUUGCUCUCCCUUUCUUCCUGCUCACGGUUGGAUAUAAUGGAGGAAGAGAGGAGAUUGCUUCUACCCAUCCACGUUCUCCAUAUGGGAUGAGGGGUGCUCCCGAGGCUCGCUUGCCCUGAGCACAGACCUUGCUGUACUGGGCCGGCCUCUGCUUCGCAGGUGCUGGGGUCAUCCUUGGUGAUGCGCCGGGUGCUGAGCAGCGUGGUCCUGUCUUGCUCCCGGCUGCAGCACGGUCACUGCUCCGAUGUGCUCAUAGCACCACGAUAGCAACUGAUGGCACUGAGCCGCACCGCCGUGCGCACCAGGCUUGCACUAUUUCUGACUGCAAAGUACAGAUGGCUCCGGGGUGGCUUUUCUUGGCACCUCCCUGCGAAACCUAGAGAGGGCAUCUGCUGAGCACAACUGCUCCGACAGAGCCGAUUCCUCGCCCUCUCCCCCCGGGUGCUCCCAUCUGGAUAGCCCGCUGACCUCCCGUGCUGCGCCGCGCCGGGUUAAACUCGCUCGCUUUAGUUAUGUACUUCCAACAGCUUCAGGCAACAAAUGUAUUUCAUGCGCGGUCCUCCUGUACCUCUCCUUGAUGUUCUAAAGCAAUGAGAAAGAAGUGUUAAAUUUGUUCUUGGCUACUUUUCCUUGCAACUCCCAAAGGCACCGGUUACAAACUGAAUCAGUUAUCAGCUAGUUAGGCUGGCAGUUCCCGAAGGUACCGCAUGAAUACUGAUAGGGACCCAUGCAUUAUUCAGUGCGAAGAGCAGAGGAAAAUGAGCAACACGUCCAAAACAAGAACAGCAGUGGCAGUAAGGGAAUAAUUAGCGAGCUGUCACUUGUCCCUGUCAGUAUUCCCUCCCUUAACACAUGAGGGAAAAUAAU
ensembl:lncRNA